rnacentral:rRNA from 1 species
AAUCCAUAGGUUAAUGAGGCGAACCGGGGGAACUGAAACAUCUAAGUACCCCGAGGAAAAGAAAUCAACCGAGAUUCCCCCAGUAGCGGCGAGCGAACGGGGAGGAGCCCAGAGCCUGAAUCAGCAUGUGUGUUAGUGGAAGCGUCUGGAAAGGCGCGCGAUACAGGGUGACAGCCCCGUACACAAAAGCGCAUGUGCUGUGAGCUCGAUGAGUAGGGCGGGACACGUGGUAUCCUGUCUGAAUAUGGGGGGACCAUCCUCCAAGGCUAAAUACUCCUGACUGACCGAUAGUGAACCAGUACCGUGAGGGAAAGGCGAAAAGAACCCCGGCGAGGGGAGUGAAAAAGAACCUGAAACCGUGUACGUACAAGCAGUGGGAGCACCCUUUGGGUGUGACUGCGUACCUUUUGUAUAAUGGGUCAGCGACUUAUAUUCUGUAGCAAGGUUAACCGAAUAGGGGAGCCGGAGGGAAACCGAGUCUUAACCGGGCGUUAAGUUGCAGGGUAUAGAC